UACGUAGGGUGCGAGCGUUGUCCGGAAUUACUGGGCGUAAAGAGCUCGUAGGUGGUUUGUCGCGUUGUUCGUGAAAACUCACAGCUUAACUGUGGGCGUGCGGGCGAUACGGGCAGACUAGAGUUCGGCAGGGGAGACUGGAACUCCUGGUGUAGCGGUGGAAUGCGCAGAUAUCAGGAGGAACACCGGUGGCGAAGGCGGGUCUCUGGGCAGUAACUGACGCUGAGGAGCGAAAGCUAGGGGAGCAAACGGG
rnacentral:rRNA from 1 species